ACAGGUAGGAACAUUCCAACAAAAAAUUGGAUGCUGCUGUAAGUCAAUCUCAUUUCCCAGAUCUACAUGCUAAAUUCUCCUAAAUAUGAAAUUUUGAAUGAUUUUAAUUAGUCUAUUAUAAUUUCUUUGACGUUAUUGACCAGGUUGGCAAAACUGGUGGUGAGAAAUGACGAUCGUUGUCUGAUGUUGUGAGUUUUCAGGCUUUCUUUUUGUAAAUAAUUUGUUUAUUGCUGGAAUAUUCUCCAAUAGUUUUCUGAUUGUUGCUUUUAGGUAAAAAUUAUAUCGGAGAAAGAACCCUACUAGGCGAAGGCAGAGAAGAGGAAGGUUGAAUACAACAAGAACAUGGAUGUGUACGACAAGAAACAAGCAAGAGUGUUUCUGUUUUAAUUGUUAAUCUCCAGAAUCAAUGACAAGAUGGACCCAUUUGAAGAGAAGCAAGCUGUUGGUUAGAUGAUAGCAACAAUUGUGCAUUCAACCAACUGCGAGUUGUCAAACUUGAAAGCUAUCAAUAUAGGGAUAGAGCUGCUGAUAGAAGAGCCUUGAUUCUAUGGAAAGCACUUCUGAUCCUCUGCAUUUUGAGCAAUGGAAGAACUGUAUGCAGUAGUGAUUAUGUUUGGAAGGCCUUGAUUUUUUUAUGCCAAAAGUUGUGAAUGCUUCUUUAAUGUAAAGCACUUCAUUGUAAAUAUUUGAAGUAUGUUUAUUGUACAGAAAUAAAAGUAUUAUUA